rnacentral:rRNA from 1 species
GAUGAACGCUGGCGGCGUGCCUAAUACAUGCCAGUCGAGCGAACGGACGAGAAGCUUGCUUCUCUGAUGUUAGCGGCGGACGGGUGAGUAACACGUGGAUAACCUACCUAUAAGACUGGGAUAACUUCGGGAAACCGGAGCUAAUACCGGAUGAUAUUUUGAACCGCAUGGUUCAAAAGUGAAAGACGGUCUUGCUGUCACUUAUAGAUGGAUCCGCGCUGCAUUAGCUAGUUGGUAAGGUAACGGCUUACCAAGGCAACGAUGAAUAGCCGACCUGAGAGGGUGAUCGGCCACACUGGAACUGAGACACGGUCCAGACUCCUACGGGAGGCAGCAGUAGGGAAUCUUCCGCAAUGGGCGAAAGCCUGACGGAGCAACGCCGCGUGAGUGAUGAAGGUCUUCGGAUCGUAAAACUCUGUUAUUAGGGAAGAACAUAUGUGUAAGUAACUGUGCACAUCUUGACGGUACCUAAUCAGAAAGCCACGGCUAACUACGUG